AACGAACGCUGGCGGCAUGCCUAACACAUGCAAGUCGAACGAGACCUUCGGGUCUAGUGGCGCACGGGUGCGUAACGCGUGGGAACCUGCCCUUAGGUUCGGAAUAACUCCCCGAAAGGGGUGCUAAUACCGGAUAAUGUCUUCGGACCAAAGAUUUAUCGCCUUUGGAUGGGCCCGCGUUGGAUUAGCUAGUUGGUAGGGUAAAAGCCUACCAAGGCGACGAUCCAUAGCUGGUCUGAGAGGAUGAUCAGCCACACUGGGACUGAGACACGGCCCAGACUCCUACGGGAGGCAGCAGUGGGGAAUAUUGGACAAUGGGCGAAAGCCUGAUCCAGCAAUGCCGCGUGAGUGAUGAAGGCCUUAGGGUUGUAAAGCUCUUUUACCCGAGAUGAUAAUGACAGUACCGGGAGAAUAAGCUCCGACUAACUCCGUG
rnacentral:rRNA from 1 species